GCGGGGGUAGCAAAGUCUGGUCAAAUGCGCAGGACUUAAGAUCCUGUCACUUAGUGUGUUCAGGAGUUCGAAUCUCCUCCCCCGCA
rnacentral:tRNA from 1 species